rnacentral:lncRNA from 1 species
AAAUUAGUAUCCACCCUUGAGGUCGUUAACGACAUCGUAUGGAAUGGGAGUAACAGUCUCUAGAGUAGAGGAGUCCAGAACGAAUCCAUCCCUUGGACCAGCAGGCUGACGCUUGAGGUUCACAGUUUCACCCUUAGCCUUGGCCUCAGCCUUCUUGAUGUCAUUGCUCUUACGGCGCUCGAGGAACUCUUCCCGGCAGCGUGAAGGCUGAACGUGCUCGAUGCGCACAUGAAGACGCUUCUGGAUGAUCCUGUUCCCGACCUGCACACGAAUCAUGUUUGAUGAGCACUGAGGUUUACAACUUUGGAACUUCAUAAACUCCAAAUGGACAACCAAACAUGAUAGAAUUGCAGACGAAGGCCGUCAAUAUUACGACCGUUACCAGGUAAAGGCGGUGUCAAAUGUCUGGAAAAAGCAUUCAAUACAGGCUUCACGAAAUUUAAAUCUAGAAAACUGAUCGCGGCACUAGAAUGGCAAGAAUUGGUAAGUACUGUCGCACAUACAUCACUCAGGCGAGAGCUGUGUGCGUUGCAACAAUAACUAAAUCAGCAUUCACGACGGGCCAGUGAAGAGGCUUCACUCCAAUACAAAUUAACUUAACAGAGUGAAUUAUAAAAAAAGAAUUAUUAGUGUGCACGCAAAGAGAAUUAACAUCAGAAGAUGAUGAAGACUGGGAUUCAAGAGUAUCACAUACAAAUUACCACUUUAAUGAUGGUUAUCAAGAACGAAAGUAAUCUCAAACUGAAUUAAUCUCGAACUUCCUCGGGGGGUUGCAUUACUACAACAGGGAGCCCUAACUCUGAAAGGACUUUAAGGUAUAAUAAAGCAGCAUUUCCACUUUUUCAAAACACGGACUCAGAUGAGAAAAACGAAGAUAAAAUGCACAAACAUACCACACUCAAAAUAAUGAAUUUCUCUCACAAUAUUCUGGUGUAAGCUGAAACAAGGAACGCCGGAACCGACUGAAACAAGCUGGAUUCCACCAAAAAAAAAAAACGGAUAGCGAGAGAACCGUACCUGCUUGUUCAUCACAACGCCGACGGCGCGCUUGGUGACGUUCCAGACAAUUCCAGUGCGGCCGUGGUAGAACUUGUGGGGCAUACCCUUGUGAACGGCUCCGUUCACCUUGAUGUCCACAUACUGGCCGACCUUGAAGGUCCGCAAGUAGGUAGUCAAGGGGAUGUAACCUUUGUGGCGGAAGGGCCUGGAGAACAAGUCCCUGGUGCGGGAUCGCAGCCCGUGUCCGGCCGGCAUCCUUGCUGCUGCUAGGUAUUCAC